AAAAAACUAAAUAAAUCGCUCGUGCCGGAAAAUGUGAGCAUUUCCAUCGAGAUUCAUAAACACUCGGGAUCGUUUUCGAUAGAAUUUUCCUCGGAACAGAGACUACCACACUGCGUCGCGUCAUUUAUCGUAAGCGUAUUAAAUCAAAUAUUUCAAUUCAUUAAAAAUCAUAUUUUAUACUGCUUUCGUACCCUACUGUAUUCACGAGAACAUUAUUACACAUUUCAUUAUACACACAACCGUACUGAGAAAUGACCGGUUAAUUUUUAUAAUCGUCAUUAAAAAUUUUAAAAACUUUAAUUUACCGUUCUUACGAUAAACCUCGAACCCGAGGCAGUGAUAAGUAACAUAACAGUGAUAGUCAGUUGGUUUUAUUUGUAAGUUAAUUAACUGAAAAUCCAUACGUCAUCAGCAUUCGAUUAAAUAAAACCCAGAACAAGUAAAUUACAUUUUCAUCAAACGUGGCCGCACAUUUGUCUGUUACGUAUGUAUCUA